rnacentral:rRNA from 1 species
GGACCAGUGGGUUGGUCGUGCCUCUGGUACGUACUGGCCUUACCGGUUCCUCCCUUCUGACGAACCACGAUGCCAUUAAUUUGGUGUUGUGGGGAAUCAGGACUGUUACUUUGAAAAAAUUAGAGUGUUUAAAGCAGGCAUUUUGCUUGAAUACAUUAGCAUGGAAUAAUAAAAUAGGACGGCAUGAUUCUAUUUUGUUGGUUUCUAGGAUCACCGUA